UGGGGAAUAUUGCACAAUGGGCGAAAGCCUGAUGCAGCGACGCCGCGUGAGGGAUGACGGCCUUCGGGUUGUAAACCUCUUUCAGCAGGGACGAAGCGCAAGUGACGGUACCUGCAGAAGAAGCACCGGCUAACUACGUGCCAGCAGCCGCGGUAAUACGUAGGGUGCAAGCGUUGUCCGGAAUUACUGGGCGUAAAGAGUUCGUAGGCGGUUUGUCGCGUCGUUUGUGAAAACCAGCAGCUCAACUGCUGGCUUGCAGGCGAUACGGGCAGACUUGAGUACUGCAGGGGAGACUGGAAUUCCUGGUGUAGCGGUGAAAUGCGGAGAUAUCAGGAGGAACACCGGUGGCGAAGGCGGGUCUCUGGGCAGUAACUGACGCUGAGGAACGAAAGCGUGGGGAGCGAACAGG
rnacentral:rRNA from 1 species